ACUAAGAUGUUUAUUUGCAGGUAUUUAUACGCAUCAGCUUCCUACUUACCUGGCCUGUCUACUCAACUGGAAAUGAAGGAGAGAAAUUUCUUGGAUUGAAGUCCAUUCUUCUUGCUUAUUUACAACAAUAUCACUACACAGCUAUUCACGAUGCGACAUACAGGUCUUUAGAGGGUAAAUUGCUGUUAUAUUGGAAGCCCAGGAAAGCUGUCGAGCCGUGACUACAAAGUUACAUGAUAAGAUGGUGGAUCUCCUAGGAGCAGCUUUUGUUAACUCUCUCAGCGUAACAGACUGAAAAUUCCGUAUAGAAGACUGGCUUUCUUAUUCAUAACACAUGAAAAUAUCUGCGAGCUUUUAAUAUAUCCGAUUUCAGUUUGGAUAUAUAUUAGAAGAAACAGAAUCAAGGUACAAAGUGAAAGAACAAUUUUUUUAAACAUAAUUAAGAAAAUACAAUUUAUUCAUGACAUUCUGAGAAACUUUGAAAUUUGAGGGUUAUAUCCGUAAUGCUUGGAGAAAUUUCUGUAGCAUUAAAUUCUGUAUUAAAGGCAUUGUUUGUUUAA